rnacentral:rRNA from 1 species
CCUACGGGAGGCAGCAGUGAGGAAUAUUGGUCAAUGGACGAGAGCCUGAACCAGCCAAGUCGCGUGAAGGAUGACUGCCCUAUGGGUUGUAAACUUCUUUUAUAUGGGAAUAAAAUGUUCCACGUGUGGGAUUUUGUAUGUACCAUAUGAAUAAGGAUCGGCUAACUCCGUGCCAGCAGCCGCGGUAAUACGGAGGAUCCGAGCGUUAUCCGGAUUUAUUGGGUUUAAAGGGAGCGUAGGUGGAUUGUUAAGUCAGUUGUGAAAGUUUGGGGCUCAACCGUAAAAUUGCAGUUGAAACUGGCAGUCUUGAGUACAGUAGAGGUGGGCGGAAUGCGUGGUGUAGCGGUGAAAUGCUUAGAUAUCACGAAGAACUCCGAUUGCGAAGGCAGCUCACUGGACUGCAACUGACACUGAGGCUCGAAAGUGUGGGUAUCAAACAGGAUUAGAUACCCCUGUAGUC